CUGACGUUUCAGGGGUUUCUAUACGUAUCACUUGGCACGAAAGAAGAAGUGUGUUUUUGGAUGUAAGGAGAAGAAAGCCAGCCUUAUGAAAACAAUGGAUAUAGUUUAUUAUCCGGGGUAGCAGGGGCGUUUUGCUUGUGUUUUUGAUGCGCUGGAUUUUUCCAACCGGGUCAUAAGUUGCAUGCGCGUGUUUCUGCAGGUUAUGGAAAGCAUGUGUGUUCGAGGCAGAUAUGUUACUGGGAUUCAUUUAGCCAUAUUUGCAACGGCAGAAACUCAUUGCAUCGUUCUCCUGGAGCGGUUGCUGGAAACGACACCUGUGACGCAGCCACGAUGGCUAAGAAACGACAAAACAGUACCAAGUGGGUGAAGAACAUCGCAGACCGAGAAGAGGAGGUUGGCUUGGAGAGAGAGAGCGACAGAAGACAGGCAUGGAGAUGAGAAAGCGGGGGAGAAUGUAAUACUGCCACUGUUGAACAUCAGUGGGGGAACGGCGAGCAGAAGCCGUUCAGCUCUCUGAAAGUCCAUCAAUCUCCCGAAUUUAAGAAAAGCAUGGAGAAAUCUAUACACCCACAGGGUGCAGCCAAUGUUCAACAUGUCCAAAAGAUUUCAUCCAACAGUAGCAACAAGAGGGAAAAUGCCCCAUUAUUUCCAAAUGCAGCAAUGAGCAUGACGAAUGGUCCAUUUUCCACAAGCAGAGCUGGAGAGAAAGCGAGCGAGUCUGAAUUAGGGUCCCGUCCAUAUCCCUCAGCUCUCAGCGGGUGGUGACACAGGAAAUAAACAGAGGCUUGUUGCGACGGCGUUAUCACUCCUCGCCUGCUUGGAGCGGAACCAAGAGCAACAGAGUUGCCCAGUGGUGGGUGAGGGAGGGGUUCCCAUCAGGUAAAACGCACAAGGUCCUUGUUCAGAAUUUA